UGCCGAGUAGCCAAAUUGGUAAGGCACCUGACUCUGGAUCAGGGACGUGUAGGUUCGAGUCCUGCCUCGGCAGCCA
rnacentral:tRNA from 1 species